CCCUUAGACACUCUAGGCGGCACGCGCGCUACAAUGGGUGGAAGAACGUGUUACUGCCUCCGAAAGGAGGGGUGAAUCACGAAUUCUUGCCCGUGAAUGGGAUAGUUUGUUGCAAUUUUCGGACUUGAACUAGGAAUCCCUUGUAAACAUGCUCAAGAAUGGCGUGUUGAAUACGUCCCUGCCGUUUGUACACACCGCCCGUCGUUUCUUCCGACUGAUACUCAUUGUGAGUUGCAAGGACCCUUUAUUGGGAAAUUGCUGCAAAUGCUUUGUAUUGGAGGAAGAAAAAGUCGUAACA
rnacentral:rRNA from 1 species